rnacentral:lncRNA from 1 species
CUUGAAAAUCGAUUAAAAGUUACUUAUUUAAGAAACCUUUGGAUAAUCUGGAGGAGCAAGGCGGACGAUCGGCGAUGUCGGCAGACUACAGGGAAGAAAAGCACAGGAAAGAUGCUAAAAGAAACAAAAGAAUCUGAUCUAAACUCCAACACCUCCUGAAGAAUCUAGCUGGGCAGAGAAAGAACA